UAGAUUGUCUUUGAAACUUCAUGAGGUUUUUGUCGGAAUGCUUGACUCCAUUCUUUCGAAUGAAUCUAUUAUAUCUCCUUACAAAAAGUCCCAUUUCCUUAUCAUCUGAAUCUUUGUCACUACUAGAAUCAUUGUCACUUUGCUCUUUUCGUGAGGACUUAGAGCUAGAGGCCACAAGAGCUAUUGGCUUCUUCUCUCCCUCUUUG
rnacentral:lncRNA from 1 species